GCUUAUUCCAACUUAAGUUCUUGAAGGAUGUGUUUAAUUGCUGAAAAAAUAACAGGAAACUGCUAGAAAAAUAUGUUCACAUUAUUAAAAAUGGAAAAAAUUGUUCUCUUAGAUAACCAUGGUUCCAUUUUGUGAAAGGUUUCAAUUGCUUUUAGAUGACUAUUUGUUUGUAGUUUUUCUACUGUAUAGGACUUCGUCUUGCAUUUUAUUGAUAUAAAGAAUGUCUACUUUCCUAAUCGUAAUUGAAGCUUCAUUAGUUUCAAUUUAUCUAUUGAUUAAUUCUAUGAUGAAGCUUUAAACUUCUGAUGAUUUAAGUUUGAUGAUUAA
rnacentral:misc_RNA from 1 species